GCAGCUAGCUGGUAGUGUUCUGUGGGAUCAAGAUGGCGUCGAGCGGAGGAGAUGGAGAACCCGAGUGGACGGCUGCGGUUCGGCCGCUUCUCUCAGCUUCCUACACGGCUUUUGAGACGAAGGAGCUGCCUCAGCUCAUCGGCUCUAUCAUCAACAGUGAAUCUGACAUCCUUCGCCACGACAAACAGUAUGAGCCUUUCUACUCAUCAUUCGUGGCACUCUCUGCACACUACAUCACCACAGUAUGUGGGCAAAUACCGAGAAAUCAGCUGCUGUCGGUUGCUUCAGCGUGCAAAGUAUUGAUUGAAUUCUCAUUGAUGCGCUUGGAGAACCCAGAUGAGGCAUGUGCGGUAUCACAGAAACACCUGAUUCUUCUAAUAAAAGGACUUUGCACGGGCUGCAGCAGACUGGAUCGCACAGAAAUCAUAACUUUCACUGCUAUGAUGAAAUCUGCCAAGUUGCCUCAAACCGUCAAGACCCUUUCAGAUGUGGAAGAUCAGAAGGAGUUGCCCAGUGCUGUGAACCCAGAGCUUCGACAAAAAGAAGUACAAAUGAACUUCUUUAAUCAACUGACUUCAGUUUUUAACCCUGACCUUACCACCAUCUUGGCCUCCCCGUCAGCAUCACACAUGCAGGCUGAGAGUGAUUGCGAUGACCAAACCACAGAUCAAGCCAUUCAGGCCAAAAUGAAAAAUGCCUUUGUCUCUCAGAAUGUGUCAAGCUUACAGGAACUUGGUGGGUCUGAGAAGUUGCUACGAGUGUGCCUCAACCUGCCCUACUUUCUGCGCUACAUCAACCGUUUCCAGGAUGCUGUAUCAGCCAACUCUUUCUUUAUCAUGCCUGCCACAGUGGCUGAUGCCACUGCUGUCCGCAAUGGAUUUCAUUCACUGGUGAUAGACGUAACCAUGGCUUUGGACACACUUUCCCUGCCCGUACUGGAGCCCUUGACACCAGGGAGAUUACUGGAUAUGACCGUGCUGGCUUUGAGCUGUCUCUAUGCUGGUGUGAGCGUGGCCACUUGCAUGGCCAUUCUGCAGGUCGGUAGCGGAUUGCAGCUUCGCUCAGCCUCCACUGGGACUAAAGAGGAGGACUAUGAAAAUGACGCAGCCACGAUUGUCCAGAAAUGUUUGGAGAUCUAUGAAAUGAUUGGACAAGCCAUCAGCAACUCCCGCAGAGCUGGAGGAGAGCAUUAUCAGAACUUCCAGCUGCUUGGAGCCUGGUGCCUUUUAAACAGCCUGUACCUGAUUCUCAACCUGAGCCCCACCGCCCUGGCGGAUAAAGGGAAGGAGAAGGAUCCCCUGGCUGCCCUGCGUGUUCGUGACAUUGCUGCUCGCACCAAGGAUGGCGCAGGAUCGCCUAAACUUGGUCCUGGCAAAGGACACCAAGGGUUUGGUGUUUUGUCCGUUAUCCUGGCAAACCACGCCAUCAAACUUUUGACUUCGCUUUUCCAGGAUCUGCAAGUUGAGGCUCUACACCGGGUAAGAGAACCAUGUUUCCUGCAGGGUUGGGCGAGUGACGGGCCACCAGCCGAGCUCAACAUCAUGGCACAGAGCACUUCCAUCCAGAGGGUCCAAAGGCUCAUCGACUCCGUGCCCCUGACCAAUCUACUCUUCACCCUUCUCUCCACUUCCUACAAAAAGGCUUGUGUUCUCCAGCGCCAGAGGAAGGGCUCAGUCAGCAGCGAUGCCAGCGCUUCCACAGAUUCAAACACCUACUAUGAGGAUGAUUUCAGCAGCACAGAGGAGGACAGCAGUCAAGCAGAGAGAAGACAGGAGAAGACAAGUGCAGCUUGUGUCUCAGAUGAUGACAGUGAACCCAUCUUGGGGCUUUGGUUUGAAGAGACAAUUUCGCCCACCAAAGACAAAGUUGCCCCCCCACCCCCUCCACCCCCACCGCCUCUGGAGACCUCUCCCAGACUGAAGAGCCCCAGCAAGCAGAAUCCGAGCGAGAACGGCAACAUUUUAGCCGGCCGCAAAGACCCAGAACUGUUCCUCAGUUUAGCCUCCAGCAUUCUGAACUUCAUCACCACCUCAAUGCUCAAGUCCAGGAACAACUUCAUCCGCAACUACCUGAGCGUGUCUCUUACAGAGCAGCACAUGGCUACACUAGCCAGCAUCAUCAAAGAUGUGGACAAAGAUGUCAAAGGCUCCUCAGAUGAAGCCUUUUCUUUGGCUCUGUAUCACUUCAACCACACCCUGGUAACAUCAGAUCUUCCAGUCCCGGCUCUGCAGAGCACCCUUCUUCAGCAGUUGGGUGUUGCGCCCUUUUCAGAGGGUCCCUGGCCUCUGUACAUUCACCCUCAGUCACUAUCGGUGCUCUCCAGACUUCUCCUCAUAUGGCAGCACAAAGCAAGCGUGCAAGGAGAGCCAGAUGUACCCGAGUGUAUGAAAGUCUGGGAAAGAUUUUUGGGAACGCUGAAGCAGCACACCAUCCAGAAUUCUGUGCAAGGAGAAGACGACCUCAACGUCGAGCACCUCCAGCUCCUGCUGCUCCUUUUCCACAACCUGUCAGAGCGCGGUCGGCGGUCAGUCCUGACCCUGGUCACCCAAGCCAUCACUGAAGUGGCACAGAGCAAAGACUCCCAGCUGAAGGCCGUGCCCCUCAACCUGGCACGCCUGUGUCUGGUUUUUGACUACCUGCUGCGCCACUACUCCAGGGCGCCCUUGUACCUCUUUGAACAGGUGCAGUAUAACCUCCUGACCCCGCCAUCCACCGGACCGACUUCUGUUCAGGACGGUGGCAAACGCAGCGGCCUCCCACUUUACUACGGAUUCAAAGAGGUGGAGGAGAACUGGGCCAAACACUGUUCAACAGAUUCAAAUGUUCAGCCCAAAUUCUACUGCGUUCUGUCCCCUGAGGCAUCUGAGGAUGAUAUCAGCAGACUGGACAGCAAGGUCUUUCCAAAGCUGUUCAAUGGAGCAGUUAAAUAUGAUGAACUGUAUGCGUGGCUCAUCUCACUGCUGGUUGCAGGCUCUGAGUUUGACACAGCAAGAAGACAGGAGGGCAAGCCGAUCACUCCUAUGGAGGCGUGCUCUCUUCAGUAUUACUUCCUGAUACUGUGGAGGAUCCUGGGCGUUUUGCCACCCUCAAAAGCCUACAUGGAGCAGCUGAAGACCGGCUGCAGCGACCCCAGUGAGAGUGACAUCCUGCACACACUGCGAUGGUCCUCACGUCUCCGGGUGCCCACCUACGUGAACUGGAUCAAGGAACACUUGGUGAAGCAGGGAAUGAAAGCUGACCAAGCAGCCUCUCUGGUUGAGAUGACGGCUGCUAAAUGCAGCACUGUUAAAUACGAUGUGGAGCUAGCAGAGGAGUACAUCGCCAGACAGAUUUCCACCUUCUCCAGCGUGGACCCGAACGCCAUCCUCCCACUGGAUCAGCUACCCUCUCUACAAGCCAUCUAUACACUGGAUGCAGUCAUCUCUAAAGUGCAGGUUUCCCUAGAUGAGCAUUUGUCCAAGGUUGCCAUUGAAGCAGACGCCAACAAGUCAUCUGAGAUGACAAAGAACCUCCUGCCUGCCACACUACAGCUCACUGAUGUUUACACGGCCUUCACAAGGUCUUACCUACUAAUGAACAUCCCAGAGGAAGGAGAGAACAAGCUCACAGAUGCUAAGCUCCAAGGUUACGCUGCCGUUCUGUCCAUCGGCUCCACCCGCUGCAAGGCCAACCUGCUGGGUCAUAGUAUCAUGCAGAACUUACCCUCAGCUGUUCAGACAAUAUGUGAGACUUGGAACGGCAUCCACACCAAUGAAUUCCCCAACAUUGGCUCAUGGCGAAAUGCAUUUGCCAAUGACACCAUUCCAUCGGAGAGCUACAUCAGUGCCAUCCAAGCAGCUCACCUGGGCACGUUGAGCUGUCAGUCCUUACCUCUGGCCUCGUCUCUGAAACACAUCCUGCUCUCUUUGGUUCGCCUCACUGGAGACCUCAUUGUCACGGAGGAGCUGAAUCCUUCGCAGGUUGUGCGCUCGUUGCUGCCCCUCCUGUUGGAGAGCAGCACGGAGAGCGUGGCUGAGAUCAGCAGCACCUCGCUGGAACGCAUCCUCGGCCCGUCGGAGUCUGACGCCUUCCUCGCCCGCAUCUAUGAGCGUCUGGUGACCGGGUGUUACAACAUCAUUGCCCAUCACUCAGACCCCAGCAGUGGUUUGGAUGAGUCUGUCCUUGAGGAAUGUCUUCAGUACCUUGAAAAGCAGCUUGAGAGCAGUCAAGUCCGCAAGGCCAUGGAAGAGUUCUUCUCAUUCAGCGGUGAGCUCGUCCAGAUUAUGAUGGCGACAGCCAACGAAAGUCUAUCAGCCAAGUUCUGCAACAGGGUGCUGAAAUUCUUCACCAAGCUUUUCCAGCUCACGGAGAAGAGCCCAAACCCCAGCCUGUUGUGUCUGUGUGGCUCUCUGGCCCAGCUGGCCUGUGUGGAGCCCUCUCGCCUGCAGUCCUGGCUGACGCGCAUGACAGCCACCCCGCCGAAGGACUCCGAGCAGUUGGAGAUAGUGCAAGAAAACCGGCAGCUCCUGCAGGUGCUCACCACUCACAUUGUGCGCGACAACAGCCAGGUGGGCGAAGGCGUGUGCACUGUCCUCCUCAGCACACUCAUUCCCAUGGCAACAGACAUGCUGGCCAACGGUGAUGGAACAGGCUUUCCUGAGCUCAUGGUCAUCAUGGCCACGCUUGCCAGCGCUGGACAGGGGGCCGGUCACCUGCAGCUGCACAGGGCAGCUAUCGACUGGCUGACCAGAUGCAAAAAGUAUUUAACACAGAAGAACGUUGUGGAAAAAGUGAGCACAAACUUAUCCCAAGGAAAGCACGCUAGCAUGCUGGAAUGCUCAUGCCACAUCAUCUCCUAUCUGGCCGACGUGAUGAAUGCCUUGAGGCAAAGCAGUGGCCAAGGCACCGCGGCACUGCUGAUGGAGGGAGAGGAGAAGGCCAUGGAAGUGGACUCGGACUGGGUGGAGGAACUGGCAGUAGAGGAGGAUGAUUCCCAAGCAGAGGACUCUGACGAAGACUCCCUUUGCAACAAACUCUGCACCUUCACCAUCACUCAGAAGGAGUUCAUGAACCAGCACUGGUACCACUGUCACACCUGUAAGAUGGUGGAUGGGGUAGGUGUGUGCACAGUGUGCGCCAAGGUCUGUCACAAAGACCAUGAGAUCUCCUAUGCCAAAUAUGGCUCUUUCUUCUGUGACUGCGGUGCCAAAGAGGAUGGCAGCUGCCAGGUGAGACCGAAUACCUCAGGUCAUCAUGGGAAGAGAACAACAGCGGCCUUGGUCAAACGCAGCCCCAGCAGCGGCAUGGGCUCCACCCUGAAAGAGUCCUCCGCGUUCCAGAGUGAGCUGCGGAUGCCGGACAGCGCGAUCCGCCACCAGAACGCCUCGCCCUCCGACAAGGGCAAGGUCACCAUCUGUGACGGCAAACCCGGUGACGAAGACAGACCUAAGAAGAGCAGCGUGUGCAAGAGCAUCGAGGGCUGCCAGGAAGAGUUGGUAACACAAGUGAUGGGAUCGUCCACUGCAGCAGUCAUUCUAGAGAUGCUCAUGUUUCUCAUGGAAGCCAUCCAGACCAACUUCCAGCAGGCGUCAGCAGUGGGAAGCAGCAGCCGGGCUCAGCAAGCGCUCAACGAACUGCACACUCAGGACAAAGCUGUGGAGAUGACUGACCAGUUAAUGGUGCCCACGCUCGGCUCUCAGGAAGGAGCUUUUGAGAAUGUGAGGAUGAACUACAGUGGCGACCAGGGACAAACUAUACGCCAACUCAUCAGUGCACACGUCUUGCGUCGCGUUGCCAUGUGCGUCCUGUCGUCACCUCACGGCCGCCGCCAGCACCUCGCAGUCAGCCAUGAAAAGGGAAAGAUAACAGUCCUGCAGUUGUCCACUCUCCUGAAACAGGCGGACUCGAGCAAGAGGAAGCUAACACUGACCCGUCUGGCCUCUGCUCCGGUCCCUUUCACUGUCCUCAGCCUCACAGGCAACCCUUGUAAUGAAGACUACCUGGCUGUGUGCGGCCUCAAGGACUGCCAUGUACUGACUUUCAGCAGCACGGGCUCUGUGUCCGACCAUCUGGUGUUGCACCCACAACUGGCGACUGGCAACUUCAUCAUCAAAGCUAUCUGGUUACCGGGCUCGCAGACUGAACUCGCCAUCAUCACCGCUGACUUUGUCAAGAUUUAUGACUUAUCAGUGGAUGCCCUGAGUCCCAUGUACUACUUCCUGCUCCCAAGCUCCAAGAUCCGCGAUGCGACCUUCCUGUUCAAUGAAGAGGGGAAGAACAUUAUCGUCAUCAUGUCUUCAGCGGGUUACAUGUACACCCAACUCAUGGACGAAUCCAGCAGUGCCCAACAUGGCCCUUUCUAUGUCACCAAUGUAUUGGAGAUAAACCACGAAGACUUGAAGGAUAGCAACGGGCAGGUAGCCGGCGGCGGCGUGUCCGUCUAUUACUCCCAUGUGCUUCAGAUGCUUUUCUUCAGCUACAGCCAGGGGAAGUCCUUUGCUGCCACAGUGAGCCGCAGCACCAGCGAAGUGCAGAGGCUCUUCCCCAUCAACGUUAAAGGCUCUAAUGGCGGCAGCAGUAAGAUAUCGCCGGCUCUGUGCCAGUGGUCGGAGGUCAUGAACCACCCAGGCCUGGUGUGCUGCGUGCAGCAGACGACAGGCAUACCUCUUGUCAUCAUGGUCAAGCCAGACACCUUCCUCAUCCAAGAGAUUAAAACUCUGCCAGCCAAAGCUAAGAUUCAAGAUAUGGUCGCUAUCCGACACACGGCCAGUAACGAGCAACAGCGUACGACCAUGAUUCUUCUCUGUGAGGACGGAAGUCUGCGAAUCUACAUGGCCAAUGUGGACAACACCUCUUACUGGCUCCAGCCCUCGCUGCAGCCCAGCUGUGGCAUCAGCAUCAUGAAGCCGGUCCGCAAGCGCAAAGCUGCUGCUACCACCACCCGGACCUCCAGUCAGGUGACUUUCCCAGUGGACUUCUUUGAACACAACCAGCAGCUGACAGAAGUGGAGUUUGGCGGCAAUGACUUGCUGCAGGUCUACAAUGGACAGCAGAUCAAACACAGGCUCAACUCCACUGGGAUGUAUGUGGCCAACACAAAGCCUGGGGGAUUCACUGUGGAAGCGGUCAACAACAACAGCUCAAUGGUGAUGACGGGCAUGCGGGUGCAGGUGGGCACUCAAGCCAUCGAGAGGGCUCCUUCCUACGUGGAGGUCUUCGGCCGCACCAUGCAGAUAAACCUGACGAGAGCCCGCUGGUUCGACUUCCCCUUCACCAGAGAGGAGGCCCUGCAGGCGGACAAGAAGCUGUCCAUCUUUAUCGGAGCAUCCGUUGACCCAGCUGGAGUCACCAUGCUCGAUUCAAUCAAGAUCUACGGUAAAACCAAGGAGCAGUUUGGCUGGCCUGAGGAUCCACCGGAGGACUUCUCCUCUGCCUCGGUUAACAACGUCUGCAGUCCCAACCUCAACCAGGGCAACGGCACCUCUGAUGGAGACAUAGCCACCCCAACCACCACCGGCGGCACCGUGCUGGAGAGUUGUGAAACUGAGUCCUUAUCAACCUUGGACCGGUUGGUAGUCAGCGCCCUUGAGGCUUUGGAAAGCUGCUUUGCAGUCGGUUCCUCUGGUGAAAAGGAGAAGAAUAAGGCUGCAGCUCUGGAGUUGGCCACUCUGCUCCUGUCCAUGCCGACUCCUGCAGGUGUGCAGCAGCAGACCAAGGGUCUUCUUGCCAGCCUGCACACCAGUCGAACUGCCUACCACAACCACAAGGACCAGUCGUUGCUCAGUAACGCAGUGCAGUGUCUGAAUAGCUGCAGCCGUGAGGGCAGGGAGCUUGACCCUGAUGUCUUCCAGAGGCUCGUCAUCACUGCUCGCUCCAUCGCAAUCAUGAGACCCAACAACUUGGUGCAUUUCACAGAAACAAAGUCAUUGCACCAUGACUCUGAAAUGACGGAGGAUGGGCAGAAACAUGUGGACGGUGAAAGCUGUAAUUUCAUCACGCAGCUGAUGAAUAACUUCUGGAAGCUCCAUGCCCUAAAACCAAAGAACGCCUUCCUUGCUCCUGCUUGCCUGCCUGGUUUAACUCAUGUGGAAGCAACAGUAAACGCCUUGGUGGACAUUAUCCAUGCAUACUGCGCAUGUGAACUGGAUUACAUCAAUGUAGCCUCCAAGAUCUACAUGCAAAUGUUACUGUGCCCAGACACCGCUGUGAGCUUUGCAUGUAAGCAGGCUCUGAUCAGAGUGCUUCGACCGAGAAACAAACGGCGACAUGUGACCCUUCCAUCUCCCCCACGCUCCAACACACCCAUGGGAGACAAGGACGAUGAUGACGACGAUGAUGCAGACGACAAAAUGCAGUCCUCCGUGCUGACUGGAGGAGAGGAGGGGAGACAGGAGAGUCAGGAGCAGAAUGAAGUGGACCACGGCGACUUUGAGAUGGUUUCGGAGUCCAUGGUCCUGGAGACAGCAGAGAAUCUCAACAAUGGAAAUCCAUCUCCUCUGGAGGCUCUGCUGGCUGGAGCUGAGGGUUUCCCCCCCAUGCUGGACAUCCCUCCUGAUGCAGAUGAUGAGACUAUGGUAGAGCUGGCCAUCGCUCUCAGCCUUCAGCAGGAUCAACAAGGCAGUAGCAGCAGUGCUCUUGGCCUUCAGAGCCUCGGCCUGUCUGGCCAGGCCCCAAGCUCCUCUUCACUGGAUGCUGGCACCCUUUCAGACACCACCGCAUCAGCCCCGGCAUCAGAUGAUGAGGGCAGCACGGCCGCUACUGACGGCUCCACGCUGAGGACCUCGCCAGCUGAGCACGGCGGCAGCGUGGGCUCAGAGAGUGGAGGCUCUGCAAUCGACUCUGUAGCGGGGGAGCACAGCGUGUCAGGACGCAGUAGUGCAUACGGGGACACAACAGUGGAGGGCCACCCUGCUGGUCCUGGCAGCGUGAGCUCCAGCACCGGAGCUAUCAGCACCACCACGGCCCAGCAGGAAGGUGAAGGCUCAGAGGGAGAAGGAGAAACCGAGGGAGACAUCCACACAAGCAACAGACUACACAUGGUUCGUCUUAUGCUACUGGAACGCUUGCUUCAGCACCUUUCUCAGCUCCAUAACGUAGGCGGAGUCCAAGCCAUCCCGUACAUGCAGGUUAUCCUCAUGUUGACCUCUGACCUGGACGGUGAGGAUGAAAAGGAUAAGGGUGCCCUGGAUGACCUGCUAGCACAGCUCAUUGCUGAGCUUUGCAUGCACAAGAAGGACGUUUCCAAGAAGAACGAGCGUAGCUCCAUCAAUGAAGUUCACCUGGUCAUCAUGAGACUGCUCAGCGUCUUCAUGUCUCGAACCAAGUCUGGCUCCAAAUCCUCCUCUGAGGCGCACCCUCUUUCUCUCUUCCAGUCAUCCUCCCUCAUCUCAAACGCCACGGCGACCGCCUUGCUCAGCCUGGGCGCUAUUGACUACUGUCUCCACGUGCUCAAAUCGCUCCUGGAGUUCUGGAAGAGCCAACAGGGCGAAGAAGAGCCUGCGACCACCAGCCAGCUCCUCCGCCCACACACCGCCUCCUCUCCUCCAGACAUGAGCCCUUUCUUCCUGCGGCAAUAUGUCAAGGGACAUGCUGCUGAUGUGUUUGAAGCCUACUCCCAGCUGUUGACUGAGAUGGUGCUCCGGCUGCCGUAUCAGAUCAAGAAGAUUGCCGACACCAACCCACGUAUCCCACCUCCUGUCUUUGACCAUUCCUGGUUCUACUAUCUGUCUGAAUAUCUGAUGAUUCAACAGACACCGUUCGUCAGGAGGCAGGUCAGAAAGCUGCUGUUGUUUAUCUGCGGCUCAAAGGAGAAAUAUCGUCAGCUGCGGGAUCUGCACACGCUCGACUCCCAUGUGCGCAGCAUCAAGAAGCUCCUGGAGGAGCAGGGCAUCUUCCUCCGGGCUGGCGUGGUCACCGCCACGUCUGGCUCAGCUCUGCAGUACGACACACUCAUCAAUCUGAUGGAACAUCUGAAAGCUUGUGCUGAAAUUGCCACUCAGAGGACGAUCAACUGGCAGAAGUUCUGCAUGAAGGAUGACUCUGUGUUGUACUUCCUGCUCCAGGUCAGCUUCCUAGUGGAUGAAGGCGUCUCCCCGGUACUUUUGCAGCUGCUCUCCUGUGCCCUGUGUGGCAGUAAGGUGCUGGCCAGCUCCUCCUCGUCCUCUUCAUCAUUCUCAGGAGGAGGCUCCAAUAGUGCUGGACAGGCAGGAGCUUCUCAGUCCUCUCAGAGCAAGUCCUCCAGUAAAAAGAGCAAAAAAGAGGACAAGGAGAAAGACAAAGAGGGCGAUGGAGUCGGCAGCCAGGAGGAUCAGCUGUGUAUGGCUCUGGUCAGUCAGCUCAACAAGUUUGCAGACAAGGAGACACUGAUCCAGUUCUUGCGCUGCUUCCUGCUGGAGUCAAACUCGUCUGCUGUGCGCUGGCAAGCCCACUGCUUGGCACUUCAUAUCUACAGGAACUCCAGUAAAUCUCAGCAGGAGCUGCUGCUGGAACUGACUUGGGCCAUCUGGCCUGAGCUGCCUGCGUACGGCCGCAAAGCUGCCCAGUUUGUCGACCUGCUUGGAUACUUCUCACUCAAAACCCCUCAGACGGAGAAAAAGCUGAAAGAGUAUUCCCAGAAAGCUGUCGAAAUCCUGAGGGCACAGAACCAUAUCCUGACGAAUCACCCUAACUCCAACAUCUACAACACUCUGUCCGGUUUAGUGGAGUUUGAUGGAUUUUUUCUGGAGAGUGACCCCUGCUUGGUGUGCAACAAUCCAGAAGUUCCCUUCUCAAAUAUAAAACUAUCCUCGAUCAAAGUGGACACCCGCUACACCACCACACAGCAGGUCGUCAAGCUCAUUGGCAGCCACACCAUCAGCAAAGUCACGGUGAAGAUCGGUGACCUGAAACGCACCAAAAUGGUCCGCACCAUCAACCUCUACUACAACAACAGGACUGUACAGGCAAUUGUGGAGCUGAAGAAUAAGCCUGCUCGUUGGCACAAAGCCAAGAAGGUUCAGCUGACGCCGGGACAGACGGAGGUGAAGAUCGACCUUCCUUUACCCAUCGUCGCAUCCAACCUGAUGAUCGAGUUCUCCGAUUUUUACGAGAACUACCAGGCCUCCACCGAGACCCUGCAGUGUCCACGCUGCAGUGCCUCUGUGCCGGCCAACCCCGGGGUGUGUGGCAACUGCGGAGAGAACGUGUAUCAGUGCCACAAGUGCAGGUCUAUCAACUACGACGAGAAAGACCCCUUCCUGUGCAAUGCCUGUGGUUUCUGCAAAUACGCCAGAUUUGACUUCAUGCUAUAUGCUAAACCAUGCUGUGCAGUGGAUCCCAUUGAGAACGAGGAAGACAGGAAAAAGGCUGUGACCAACAUCAACACCCUGCUGGACAAAGCUGACCGGGUCUACCACCAGCUGAUGGGCCACCGGCCCCAGUUGGAGAGUCUCCUGUCUAAAGUCAACGAGGCGGCACCAGAGAAACCACAGGAUGACACUGGAGCAGGUGCAGGACUCGGUACGUCCUCUGCUAAUGUGAACAGAUACAUUCAGCAGUUGGCUCAAGAGUACAGCGGAGACUGCAAGACGUCAUUUGAUGAACUCUCCAAGAUAAUACAGAAAGUGCUUGCAUCUCGUAAAGAGCUCCUGGAGUAUGAUCUGCAGCAGAGAGAAGCUGCCACCAAGUCGUCCCGCAGCAGCAGCAGCCACCAGCCCACCUUCACCGCCAGCCAGUACCGCGCACUGUCCGUUCUGGGCUGCGGCCACACCUCCUCAAACAAGUGCUACGGCUGUGCCUCAGCCGUCACGGGUCACUGUAUCACACUGCUUCGUGCGCUGGCCACCAACCCAGCCCUCCGGCAGAUCCUGGUCCUCCAGGGCCUCAUUCGUGAACUGUUUGAGUAUAACUUGCGGCGAGGUACAGCAGCCAUGAGGGAGGAGGUGCGCCAGUUGGUCUGUCUCCUCACCAGAGAUCAUCCAGAGGCCACCCAACAGAUGAACGACCUCAUCAUCGUCAAGGUGUCGGCUGCCCUCAAAGGCCACUGGGCCAACCCUGACCUGGUCAGUAAUCUGCAGUAUGAAAUGCUGCUGCUGACAGACUCCAUUUCAAAAGAGGGAGGGUGCUGGGAGUUACGGUUGCGUUGUGCCCUCAGUCUGUUCCUCAUGUCGGUGAAUAUAAAGACUCCUGUAGUGGUGGAGAACAUCACUCUCAUGUGUCUGAGAAUCCUGCAGAAGCUGAUCAAGCCCCCUGCUCCCACCAGCAAGAAGAACAAGGAUGCUGCUAUUGAGUCCCUAACCACAGUCAGGCCCUACAGUAAUGAAAUCCACGCCCAGGCUCAACUCUGGCUCAAGAAGGACCCCAAAGCAUCUUAUGAGGCCUGGAAAAAGUGUCUCCCAGCAAGAUGCCAGGAAAGUACGCCAAAGCCUCAGGGGAAGACUGAGCUGCGAAGGCAGUACCUGUUGGAGAAGUACGUUUGGAAGUGGAAGCAGUUCAUGAGGUCCAGGAAAGGUGAAGGCCUCUUCCCUCGCCUGCUCAAACUGAGCCACAACAACUGGCUGCGACAGGUCCUUUUCACACCUGCCACUCAGGCAGCCAGACAGGCAGCUUGCACCAUUGUGGAGGCUCUAACCACGAUCCCCAGCCGCAAGCAGCAAGUCCUGGACCUGCUCACCAGUUAUCUGGAUGAGCUGAGUGUAGCCGGAGAGUGUGCGUCGGAGUACCUGAGUCUGUACCAGAAGUUGAUCAAGCCAACACACUGGAAGGUUUACCUGGCGGCCCGUGGAGUCUUGCCCUACAUCGGCAACCUGAUCACCAAGGAAAUCGCCAACCUGCUGUCUCUGGAGGAGGCGACACUGAGCACCGACUUGCAGCAAGGCUACGCCCUCAAGAGCUUGACUGGAUUGCUCUCUUCUUUCGUGGAGGUGGAGUCCAUUAAGCGGCAUUUCAAGAGCAGGUUGGUCGGCACAGUGCUCAACGGCUACCUGUGUCUGAGGAAACUGGUGGUGCAGCGCACCAAGCUCAUCGAUGAGACUCAGGACAUGCUGCUGGAGAUGCUGGAGGACAUGACAACAGGUACGGAGUCUGAAACCAAAGCCUUCAUGGCAGUGUGCAUCGAGACUGCAAAGCGGUACAACCUGGAUGACUACAGGACACCAGUGUUCAUUUUUGAGAGACUGUGCAGCAUCAUCUAUCCUGAGGAGAACGAGGUGACAGAGUUCUUUGUGACUCUGGAAAAGGAUCCUCAGCAGGAGGACUUCCUGCAGGGCCGCAUGCCAGGAAACCCCUACAGCAGCAACGAGCCCGGCAUCGGCCCUCUAAUGAGGGACAUCAAGAACAAGAUCUGCCAAGACUGCGACCUGGUGGCGCUUCUUGAAGACGACAGUGGCAUGGAGCUUCUGGUGAACAACAAAAUCAUUAGCUUGGAUCUGUCUGUGGCCGAGGUCUACAAGAAGGUCUGGUGCCCUACAAACGAGGGUGAGCCAAUGAGAAUCAUCUAUCGAAUGAGAGGUCUGCUGGGAGACGCCACUGAGGAGUUCAUAGAGUCACUGGACUCAACCACAGAUGAAGAGGAGGAUGAUGAGGAGGUGUACAAGAUGGCAGGAGUCAUGGCUCAGUGUGGAGGACUGGAGUGUAUGCUCAGCCGGCUGUCUGGAAUCAAAGAUUUUAAACAAGGAAGACAUCUGCUCACUACAACAGCAGAAAAUCUCUCGUGCGUCUCUCAUAAAUACCGACAGCAGAGCUGCAGAGUGACACGUGAACUUCUGUCUCACUCACAGGUUCUGCUGAAGUUGUUCAGUUACUGUGUGAAGGUGAAGAUCAACAGGCAGCAGCUGGUCAAACCAGAGAUGAACACGCUCAACGUCAUGCUGGGAACUCUGAACCUGGCUUUAGUGGCAGAACAGGAGAGUAAGGACAGUGGUGGAGCCUCCAUAGCGGAGCAAGUUCUGAGCAUCAUGGAGAUCAUUCUGGACGAAGCCAAUGCAGAGAUUUCAGAGGACAAGGGUAACCUGCUGCUGACAGGAGACAAAGAUCAGCUGGUCAUGUUGUUGGACCAGAUCAACACCCCGUUUGUGCGCUCCAACCCCAGCGUGCUGCAGGGUCUGCUGCGCAUCAUCCCGUACCUGUCCUUCGGUGAACUGGAGAAGAUGAGGAUCUUGGUGGAACGCUUCAAACCGUGUUGCAGUUUUGACAAGUACGACGAGGAGCACAGCGCAGAUGACAAAGUGUUUUUGGAUUGCUUCUGUAAAAUCGCUUCUGGGAUCAAAAAUAACAGCAACGGCCAUCAGCUGAAAGACCUUAUUCUCCAGAAAGGAAUCACACAGAGUGCCCUGGACUACAUGAAGAAACAUAUCCCCAACGCCAAAAAUCUGGAUGCAGACAUCUGGAAGAAGUUCCUCUCCAGACCAGCUCUCCCCUUCAUUCUCAGAUUACUCCGUGGUUUGGCUACCCAGCAUCCCCCCACACAGGUGCUGAUUGGCACAGAUUCAAUAACCAACUUGCACAAGCUGGAGCAGGUAUCCAGUGACGAAGGCAUCGGCACGCUGGCGGAAAACCUUCUGGAGGCUCUGAGGGAGCACAGCGACGUCAACCUGAAGAUCGAAGCGGCCCGCCGGGAGACCAGAUCUGAGAAGAAGCGUAUGGCGAUGGCCAUGAGACAGAAAGCUCUGGGAACACUGGGCAUGACGACCAAUGAGAAGGGUCAGGUGGUGACCAAGACCUCACUGUUGAAGCAAAUGGAGGAGCUGAUAGAGGAGCCGGGCUUGACCUGCUGUAUCUGUAGAGAAGGUUACAAAUUCCAGCCAACCAAAGUCCUGGGUAUUUACACUUUCACGAAGCGUGUGGCCUUGGAGGACUUUGAAAACAAGCCUCGGAAGCAGCAGGGCUACAGCACUGUGUCGCACUUUAACAUAGUCCACUAUGACUGCCAUCUGGCAGCUGUCAGGCUGGCUCGUGGGCGAGAGGAGUGGGAGAGUGCUGCUCUCCAGAACGCCAACACCAAGUGCAAUGGGCUGCUUCCUGUGUGGGGGCCACAUGUGCCAGAAUCAGCCUUCGCUACGUGCUUAGCGAGGCACAACACAUAUCUGCAGGAGUGCACGGGCCAGCGGGAGCCAACGUACCAACUCAACAUCCACGACACCAAACUGCUGUUCCUCCGCUUCGCUACGGAACAAUCGUUCAGCGUGGACACGGGAGGAGGAGGACGGGAGAGCAACAUCCACCUCAUCCCCUACAUCAUCCACACCGUGCUCUACGUCCUCAACACUACAAGGGCUACGUCCCGGGAGGAGAAGAACCUUCAGAGUUUCCAGGAGCAGCCGUGUGAGAAAUGGGUGGAGAGCUCGUACGAGGUCGAAGGGCCGCACUAUUUCACCAUCUUGGCAAUGCACAUCAUGCCGCCCGAACGCUGGAGGAGUUCACGUUUAUACUUCCUACGAAGACUCCUGGUCAACGCACACGCCCGCAAGGUCUCCGCAGUCUGCACCAACAAACUCACAGAUAAAGCACCAAAGGAAUAUGCAGUCUAUCGCUCGCCUCUUCUCUUCUGGGGUCUGGUGGAUCUCGUCUACGACAUGUUCAGGAAAGUUCCCACCAGCAACACGGAGGGGGGCUGGUCCUUCUCGCUGGCAGAAUAUGUCCGUCACAACGACAUGCCCAUCUUUGAGGCGUCGGAGCGCGUGCUCAGGGCCUUCCAGGAUGAACUCAUGCCCGCCGAGUCCUUGUCAGAGUUCUGUGACGUCGUAGGUCUCCUCUCGGAAAUCGCAGACCCGGACCUCUUCCUGCAGGAUUUGUUGAACUCUUUGCCCUGAUGGCCACCCUCAACCCACAACACACACACACACACACACACACACACACACACACACACACACACACACACACACACACACACACAAACAGACACACACACACACACACAGAGUAUACACCAUGCCUCUUACUCACCCCCCUCCCACCCCAGUAUGACAUCUUCAAAUUAACUUUAAGCAGAAACUAUGUGUAGUCUAAAAAAAAAGAAUCAUCCACUUUUGGCAACUUCUCUGUAACGUUGUAACGUUUAACACAAAAACACGAAGCUGUUGACGGGACGGGGGGAACACGCUAAAACAGAAUUCAGACCGCUUCAGUGUGGAGGCGAUGACUGAUGAUGAACGACUCGCCGAGCUCAUUAAAACAGAGACGUGACGGCCGUUAUCGCCAACAAACCUGAAGCUUCACUGUUGUUCUGACAGAUUGUGACGGAGAAACGGGCUGAGGUCAUUAAAAACAGAAAGAGAAGUAGUUGUUCGGUUGAUGGAAUAAAAAGGGAAUUCUGUUUUAGGGUGGAAACUCUUUCAGCUUUCAGCCCCCCCCCCCCCCCCCCCCCUAAAAUUGGGUUGCAAUGUUAAGGUAACUAAACAUGUUUUGGAUUUGACCCACCACGUGUUAAAGAGUGGCAUUUGAUUUUAUCUUGUUUUCCUUUUUUCUUUGUUUGGUUUCAGUUUGUUUUAAAAAUGGCAGAAGGUUUCAGUGUCACGUGGUCACGAGCUAAGCGGUCCUUUUCUUCGGGGCUCUUGCUGUUUUUGGUCUUCAUGUCGGUUCUAACUGGAAUUUGAGUGACGGACAAAGAGAGAGUUUUUUGAUUUAGUGUGUGUGUAAAGGUUUCUUUUAUCAACCUCACAAGGGAAAAGAAGGAUGAAUAAAAGUUUAUUUUUUUCCCAUAAAGCUCUGCCUUUGUGACAAAGUGAACUUUGGACUUGUGAAAGAUUCCAUCUGUUGCAAUGAAAUAUCAGACCUGUCUAAAUUAAUAAUAAAACAGACCUGCAUUAUAUCCUUAAACACCUUUUUCUUUGACUAAUUGUUCAGUUUGUUUUCUUCCCCGGCAGGUAGUUUUAUUUCUAACACUCUUGUGUCGAUACAGUCAGAACAGAUUUCUGGAAAGCAAAGAUUGACUUUCAACUCACGGACCGUUGAAACGGCGUCCCUGUACUCCAGAGCUGAAUGCAUGGUGUGGACAUCACCCACUUUAUUGUUAACUCCCGCUGCUACAAUGUUCAACUUGUUGCUGAAUGUCUGCUUUUUUGAAUUUAGCCUAUGAUUAAUAAAGCCGUAAUAAUUCAAAA